rnacentral:rRNA from 1 species
UACGGAGGGUGCGAGCGUUGUCCGGAAUCACUGGGCGUAAAGGGCGCGUAGGCGGCUUGGGAAGUCCGUGGUGAAAGCUCGAGGCUCAACUUCGAGUCGGCCAAGGAUACUCCUAAGCUCGAGUCGACUAGAGGCAGAUGGAAUUCCGGGUGUAGCGGUGGAAUGCGUAGAGAUCCGGAAGAACACCGGUGGCGAAGGCGGUCUGCUGGGGUCGAACUGACGCUGAGGCGCGACAGCGUGGGGAGCAAACAGG